AAGACCUUGCGCUUUUGGAGCGGCCGAUGCCCGAUUAGCUUGUUGGUAAGGUAAAAGCUUACCAAGGCUUCGAUCAGUAGCUGGUCUGAGAGGACGACCAGCCACACUGGGACUGAGACACGGCCCAGACUCCUACGGGAGGCAGCAGUGGGGAAUUUUGGGCAAUGGGGGCAACCCUGAUCCAGCCAUGCCGCGUGAGUGAAGAAGGCCUUCGGGUUGUAAAGCUCCUUCAGCCGGGAAGAAAAGGUUGCGACGAAUAAUCACAAUUCAUGACGGUAUCGACAGAAGAAGCACCGGCUAACUACGUGCCAGCAGCCGCGGUAAUACGUAGGGUGCGAGCGUUAAUCGGAAUUACUGGGCGUAAAGCGUGCGCAGGUGGUUUUGUAAGUCAGAUGUGAAAGCCCCGGGCUCAACCUGGGAACU
rnacentral:rRNA from 1 species